rnacentral:tRNA from 1 species
GAGGAGAUAGCUCAGAUGGAAGAGCAAAGAAAUUGAGAUAGUUUAGGGAUAAACUGACACAGCAAAUUUUUUUCAAACAGGAUUCUUAUGUCGGAGGUUCGAGUCCUCCUCUCCUCACCA